rnacentral:rRNA from 1 species
CAAGGAAGUGACGGGGCCCGCACAAGCGGCGGAGCAUGUGGUUUAAUUCGAAGCAACGCGAAGAACCUUACCAGGCCUUGACAUGCAGAGAACUUUCCAGAGAUGGAUUGGUGCCUUCGGGAACUCUGACACAGGUGCUGCAUGGCUGUCGUCAGCUCGUGUCGUGAGAUGUUGGGUUAAGUCCCGCAACGAGCGCAACCCUUGCCUUUAGUUGCCAGCAGUUCGGCUGGGCACUCUAAAGGGACUGCCGGUGUUAAACCGGAGGAAGGUGGGGAUGACGUCAAGUCCUCAUGGCCUUUAUGACCAGGGCUACACACGUACUACAAUGGCCGAUACAAAGGGCAGCGACACUGCGAGGUGAAGCCAAUCCCGUAAAAUCGGUCUCAGUCCGGAUUGGAGUCUGCAACUCGACUCCAUGAAGUUGGAAUCGCUAGUAAUCGUGGAUCAGCAUGCCACGGUGAAUACGUUCCCGGGCCUU